rnacentral:tRNA from 2 species
ACUAAAGUAGCUCAAAUUAGAGUUUUACAUUGAAGCUGUAAAGGUGGCUAUUGCCCUUUGGUA